GAUGAACGCUGGCGGCGUGCCUAAUACAUGCAAGUCGAGCGAACAGACGAGGAGCUUGCUCCUCUGACGUUAGCGGCGGACGGGUGAGUAACACGUGGAUAACCUACCUAUAAGACUGGGAUAACUUCGGGAAACCGGAGCUAAUACCGGAUAAUAUAUUGAACCGCAUGGUUCAAUAGUGAAAGACGGUUUUGCUGUCACUUAUAGAUGGAUCCGCGCCGCAUUAGCUAGUUGGUAAGGUAACGGCUUACCAAGGCAACGAUGCGUAGCCGACCUGAGAGGGUGAUCGGCCACACUGGAACUGGGGCACGGUCCAGACUCCUACGGGAGGCAGCAGUAGGGGAUCUUCCGCAAUGGGCGAAAGCCUGACGGAGCAACGCCGCGUGAGUGAUGAAGGUCUUCGGAUCGUAAAACUCUGUUAUUAGGGAAGAACAAAUGUGUAAGUAACUAUGCACGUCUUGACGGUACCUAAUCAGAAAGCCACGGCUAACUACGUG
rnacentral:rRNA from 1 species